AUGCUAUGGUUCAGUUCUAAAGCACCUGCUUCUUACUUGGCUGAGCAUUCUGAUUGGAUUGGAUUGCAGCAGAGACCCAUAAACACCAGAACCAGAACCAGUGUACUUCUCGUGAAGAGCCUUCCGAUGAUUCCUUCCCUCGGCACUCUCCUCGCCGGAGUUCGCCGGAGCCGCCAUGCCAUUGCCAAGACCACACCUGUUUCCGCUCUCGCUGCCCUCCUCUUCCUCGCAGCCGCCACAUUCUGGCUCCUCUUCCUCGGGCCUCUCGGAUCGCCCAACACCACCUCGUCGUCCGGCGCCGACACCCACGGCAUGGGCGCCACCGCGUGCGAUACCACGCUGGGCGAGUGGGUCCGCGACCCCACCGGCGCGCGGCCGCACUACACCAACGCGACGUGCGCCUUCAUCCAGGACUACCAGAACUGCAUGAAGCACGGCAGGCCCAGCCUCGAUUUCCUGCAGUGGAGGUGGCGCCCCGACGGCGGCCCGGGCUGCGAGCUCCCGCGCUUCGACGCGGCGCGCUUCUUCCGGAUCGUUCGGGGCAAGUCGAUCCUGUUCGUCGGGGACUCGCUGGCCAGCAGCCACGUCACCUCCCUCAUGUGCACCCUGUCGGAGGCGGAGAUCCCGACGAGGCGGAGCGCCGAUGGGUUCGAGCACUGGCGCUUCCCGGCGCACGACUUCGCCGUCUCCUUCUUCUGGACGCCGUUCCAGGUCCGGUGGCGCCUGACGAGCGGCCCGCCCGAGGCGGUCGGCCCCGACCGGCAUGGGGAGGUGUUCGCCGGGCCCAGCGACCUCCACCUCGAUGAGCCCGACGAGCGGUGGAUGCCCGCGGCCAAGGAGCACGACUACGUGGUCGUGUCCGCGUCGCACUGGUUCGCGCGCCCGGCCGUGUACUACCGCCGUGGCCGCGCCGUCGGCUGCCACGGCUGCGGCACCACGAACGGCAACAUCACCGCGCUCCCACCGCGGUACGCGCAGCGCGCGGCGUUCCGCACCGUGCUGCGGGCGCUCGCGGGACUCGACGGGUUCAAGGGGACGGCGAUCCUGCGGACGGUGGCGCCGACGCACUACGCGAACGGCGGGUGGUUCGACGGCGGGGAGUGCCCGGACACGCAGCCGCUCGACCGGGACGAGGCGGCGGACAUGGAGGAGCCGGAGGGCGGGUUCUACAGGGCCCAGCUGGAGGAGUUCGGAGCGGCGGAGGAGGAGGCGAGGAAGAACGGCGUGCGGCUCAGGCUGAUGGACGUGACCCGGAUCAUGCUGCGGCGUCCGGACGGGCACCCCGAUCGGUACGGACACGGCGCCGGCGACCACGGCGGCUUCGACAUCGACUGCCUGCACUGGUGCUUACCCGGACCGAUCGAUGUGUGGAACGAGCUGCUGCUUCAUAUCAUGGCCGGUUAG
rnacentral:rRNA from 1 species